rnacentral:lncRNA from 1 species
UCAGGGGUCCUCUCACCUACUAACAGUUAACACUCUGCUUGCUGAUAUGGAGGAUAAGAAGUGCUUGCUGCUGACUGUAUGCCAGUCCAGGCCUGGUAGCCAGCAGCAGUCAUCAUUGGAAAGCACCAACAGUGGAGUCAGCCACAACCAAAUCCCAUAUAUACAAUGCUCUGGUUGCUUGGUUUCUGUCUUUGGUUGGAGCACCAGGCCCUCAAAGUGGUGAUGACAGGGCUGCUGUACCUUUUUGGGUGGCUGGCCUACAGCAGCUGUGGACAGAGGAUGGACUGGCUCUACACAUCUGUACUGUGUCCCACGGAGAGAGCCUACAACUUUUCCGAAAACCCCGGAAACGGGGUGUGGAUAAGGGUCAUAGUGUGUUCCAGCAGCGUGUCUGCAGGUUCCUCUCUCAGACCUUCCUCAGAGCCAUCACCCAUUGGUUGCCCCAGCUCAUGA